UUGGAGGGCAAGUCUGGUGCCAGCAGCCGCGGUAAUUCCAGCUCCAAUAGCGUAUAUUAAAGUUGUUGCAGUUAAAAAGCUCGUAGUUGAAUUUCGGGGUUAGUAGGCUGGUCAUGCCUCUGGUAUGUACUGGUCUCACUGAUUCCUCCUUCCUGAUGAACCGUAAUGCCAUUAAUUUGGUGUUGCGGGGAAUUUGGACUGUUACUUUGAAAAAAUUAGAGUGUUUAAAGCAAGCUAACGCUUGAAUACAUUAGCAUGGAAUAAUGAAAUAGGACGUUCGAUCCUAUUUUGUUGGUUUCUAGGAUUGACGUAAUGAUUAAUAGGGAUAGUUGGGGGCAUUAGUAUUCAAUUGUCAGAGGUGAAAUUCUUGGAUUUAUUGAAGACUAACUACUGCGAAAGCAUUUGCCAAGGAUGUUUUCAUUAAUCAAGAACGAAAGUUAGGGGAUCGAAGACGAUCAGAUACCGUCGUAGUCUUAACCAUAAACUAUGCCGACUAGGGAUCGGAUGAUGUUAAUUUUUUAAUGACUCAUUCGGCGCCUUACGGGAAAC
rnacentral:rRNA from 2 species